rnacentral:rRNA from 1 species
CCUACGGGUCUGCAGUGGGGAAUAUUGCACAAUAGGCGCAAGCCUGAUGCAGCCAUGCCGCGUGUGUGAAGAAGGCCUUCGGGUUGUAAAGCACUUUCAGCGGGGAGGAAGGCGGUGAGGUUAAUAACCUCAUCGAUUGACGUUACCCGCAGAAGAAGCACCGGCUAACUCCGUGCCAGCAGCCGCGGUAAUACGGAGGGUGCAAGCGUUAAUCGGAAUUACUGGGCGUAAAGCGCACGCAGGCGGCCUGUCAAGUCGGAUGUGAAAUCCCCGGGCUCAACCUGGGAACUGCAUUCGAAACUGGCAGGCUAGAGUCUUGUAGAGGGGGGUAGAAUUCCAGGUGUAGCGGUGAAAUGCGUAGAGAUCUGGAGGAAUACCGGUGGCGAAGGCGGCCCCCUGGACAAAGACUGACGCUCAGGUGCGAAAGCGUGGGGAGCAAACAGGAUUAGAUACCCGUGUAGUC